ensembl:lncRNA
UGUGUGAACAAAGUCUGGCUCCUUUAAUCCUGCAUGACAAACCUCAGGAUGCAGGUCAGCUGGAGACUUUGAAGUUUCGUAGCAUUGGGCCUGAUGAUGGUGUGUAAAGCCUCUACUUACCUUCUACACUGUGUUUUUGUUACUAAUUUAUUCACAAGUUUUGGAUUGUUUGCUGUUGUUUAUCAGUCGGGUGUAGACAGAUUUCAGAGGAGCAAAGAGGAGCACCGUUGCUUCAUCAUUAACACUUUAAAGCAGAACUGGAUGGAAAUCAAAGGUCCUUAAAAGCUUUUUCUGCUCCCCGACCCUCAAAGCCAAACUUCACCAUGACAGCUGACGGGAUACGAUUAUUAAAAAGUGACGUUAUCAGAAACAAAGGUUCAGUAAAUAUCAAACACUUCAGUGGAUUUUCUCUCACAUAUAUUUGGUGUUUGCCCUGCGAUAAACUGUCCUGCUUUUGCCCCGUGGCAGCUGGGACAGGCUUCAACCCUGGAGUGGAAAUAUUGUAUUCCAAGUAUGUAAUCUGAUCAUUUACAAAGUCAAAGUCUCUCAUCAACAUGAGGAGAAAAUCCAGAUGACCAAAGUGGAAGACUGUGGAACAUGUGAAUGCAUGUUUGUGUGUUUCUGCCUGUGUCUUUCAGAGGAGGCUGGAGGCUCUGAAAGGCUCCCCCACCAGUUCCUGCUCAAUCAAAGCAGCAAACUUGAUGCUAUAGGCUACAUUUUAUUUAAUGGUAGAAAAAUAAGGUUUCAAAUCAGUGGGUAGCAGAUGUUAUUACCCAUUUGGAGCCCACUUCUACUAUAAGAGAUUUCCUGGAGACGAUGCAGAGGGCUUAUGAAUUUAUCUUGACUAAGAGUGAAAUCUUUUUGUGCUCACAGCACUUUCAGUUCAGUUAAAUGUCAUGUAUGUAGCAGCAUUUCACAACAAGUGGUCUCAACCUGCUGUCAGAACCAGAAUCCUUUAUUCAUGAAGUCAGGACCCUGAGUGAAGAACAGGCAGAGACUCUGAUCAACAAGCAGGCAGAGCCUCACCGAGGAGCAGCCUGAGACGACCACCGAGGAGCAUCAAGCUUCUCCUCGAGGAGCAUCCAAAGAGCCUGUCAGACGAGCAGACAGAGACUGUUUUUGUUCUACAUCUUCUUCCUUUAUCUCCUCCUUCUGGUCCAUGCUCCAAGUCUUUCCAGCAGAAGAAGAGAGAAAGCUCCUCUCAACACCUUCCACCACCUGUUAAACCCACAGACCAUCUCUGCAGUCUCUUCAUCCACCUGCUGCCAUCUCCCAGUCUUUAAGUCAGGGUGGCCAACAUGAAAAUAAGAGGAGGAAGAGUAAGUUUAGUUUUGCAUCGUACGUCUUUAGAUUCUUACGUUUGUUCCUAAAUGAACGUGACUUCAGAAAAUGAUGCACAUGUUGUCCUAGAGAACUUACAAACCAGUGCACAGCAUUUUAUUCACCAGUUAUUUAGCUGUAUUUUGGUGGCCA